GGUUAAGCGACUAAGCGUACACGGUGGAUGCCCUGGCAGUCAGAGGCGAUGAAGGACGUGCUAAUCUGCGAUAAGCGUCGGUAAGGUGAUAUGAACCGUUAUAACCGGCGAUUUCCGAAUGGGGAAACCCAGUGUGAUUCGUCACACUAUCAUUAACUGAAUCCAUAGGUUAAUGAGGCGAACCGGGGGAACUGAAACAUCUAAGUACCCCGAGGAAAAGAAAUCAACCGAGAUUCCCCCAGUAGCGGCGAGCGAACGGGGAGCAGCCCAGAGCCUGAAUCAGUGUGUGUGUUAGUGGAAGCGUCUGGAAAGGCGUGCGAUACAGGGUGACAGCCCCGUACACAAAAAUGCACAUACUGUGAGCUCGAUGAGUAGGGCGGGACACGUGGUAUCCUGUCUGAAUAUGGGGGGACCAUCCUCCAAGGCUAAAUACUCCUGACUGACCGAUAGUGAACCAGUACCGUGAGGGAAAGGCGAAAAGAACCCCGGCGAGGGGAGUGAAAAAGAACCUGAAACCGUGUACGUACAAGCAGUGGGAGCACAGAGCAAUCUGUGUGACUGCGUACCUUUUGUAUAAUGGGUCAGCGACUUAUAUUCUGUAGCAAGGUUAACCGAAUAGGGGAGCCGAAGGGAAACCGAGUCUUAACUGGGCGUUAAGUUGCAGGGUAUAGACCCGAAACCCGGUGAUCUAGCCAUGGGCAGGUUGAAGGUUGGGUAACACUAACUGGAGGACCGAACCGACUAAUGUUGAAAAAUUAGCGGAUGACUUGUGGCUGGGGGUGAAAGGCCAAUCAAACCGGGAGAUAGCUGGUUCUCCCCGAAAGCUAUUUAGGUAGCGCCUCGUGAAUUCAUCUCCGGGGGUAGAGCACUGUUUCGGCAAGGGGGUCAUCCCGACUUACCAACCCGAUGCAAACUGCGAAUACCGGAGAAUGUUAUCACGGGAGACACACGGCGGGUGCUAACGUCCGUCGUGAAGAGGGAAACAACCCAGACCGCCAGCUAAGGUCCCAAAGUCAUGGUUAAGUGGGAAACGAUGUGGGAAGGCCCAGACAGCCAGGAUGUUGGCUUAGAAGCAGCCAUCAUUUAAAGAAAGCGUAAUAGCUCACUGGUCGAGUCGGCCUGCGCGGAAGAUGUAACGGGGCUAAACCAUGCACCGAAGCUGCGGCAGCGACACUAUGUGUUGUUGGGUAGGGGAGCGUUCUGUAAGCCUGCGAAGGUGUGCUGUGAGGCAUGCUGGAGGUAUCAGAAGUGCGAAUGCUGACAUAAGUAACGAUAAAGCGGGUGAAAAGCCCGCUCGCCGGAAGACCAAGGGUUCCUGUCCAACGUUAAUCGGGGCAGGGUGAGUCGACCCCUAAGGCGAGGCCGAAAGGCGUAGUCGAUGGGAAACAGGUUAAUAUUCCUGUACUUGGUGUUACUGCGAAGGGGGGACGGAGAAGGCUAUGUUGGCCGGGCGACGGUUGUCCCGGUUUAAGCGUGUAGGCUGGUUUUCCAGGCAAAUCCGGAAAACUAAGGCUGAGGCGUGAUGACGAGGCACUACGGUGCUGAAGCAACAAAUGCCCUGCUUCCAGGAAAAGCCUCUAAGCAUCAGGUAACAUCAAAUCGUACCCCAAACCGACACAGGUGGUCAGGUAGAGAAUACCAAGGCGCUUGAGAGAACUCGGGUGAAGGAACUAGGCAAAAUGGUGCCGUAACUUCGGGAGAAGGCACGCUGAUAUGUAGGUGAAGUCCCUCGCGGAUGGAGCUGAAAUCAGUCGAAGAUACCAGCUGGCUGCAACUGUUUAUUAAAAACACAGCACUGUGCAAACACGAAAGUGGACGUAUACGGUGUGACGCCUGCCCGGUGCCGGAAGGUUAAUUGAUGGGGUUAGCGCAAGCGAAGCUCUUGAUCGAAGCCCCGGUAAACGGCGGCCGUAACUAUAACGGUCCUAAGGUAGCGAAAUUCCUUGUCGGGUAAGUUCCGACCUGCACGAAUGGCGUAAUGAUGGCCAGGCUGUCUCCACCCGAGACUCAGUGAAAUUGAACUCGCUGUGAAGAUGCAGUGUACCCGCGGCAAGACGGAAAGACCCCGUGAACCUUUACUAUAGCUUGACACUGAACAUUGAGCCUUGAUGUGUAGGAUAGGUGGGAGGCUUUGAAGUGUGGACGCCAGUCUGCAUGGAGCCGACCUUGAAAUACCACCCUUUAAUGUUUGAUGUUCUAACGUUGACCCGUGAUCCGGGUUGCGGACAGUGUCUGGUGGGUAGUUUGACUGGGGCGGUCUCCUCCUAAAGAGUAACGGAGGAGCACGAAGGUUGGCUAAUCCUGGUCGGACAUCAGGAGGUUAGUGCAAUGGCAUAAGCCAGCUUGACUGCGAGCGUGACGGCGCGAGCAGGUGCGAAAGCAGGUCAUAGUGAUCCGGUGGUUCUGAAUGGAAGGGCCAUCGCUCAACGGAUAAAAGGUACUCCGGGGAUAACAGGCUGAUACCGCCCAAGAGUUCAUAUCGACGGCGGUGUUUGGCACCUCGAUGUCGGCUCAUCACAUCCUGGGGCUGAAGUAGGUCCCAAGGGUAUGGCUGUUCGCCAUUUAAAGUGGUACGCGAGCUGGGUUUAGAACGUCGUGAGACAGUUCGGUCCCUAUCUGCCGUGGGCGCUGGAGAACUGAGGGGGGCUGCUCCUAGUACGAGAGGACCGGAGUGGACGCAUCACUGGUGUUCGGGUUGUCAUGCCAAUGGCACUGCCCGGUAGCUAAAUGCGGAAGAGAUAAGUGCUGAAAGCAUCUAAGCACGAAACUUGCCCCGAGAUGAGUUCUCCCUGACUCCUUGAGAGUCCUGAAGGAACGUUGAAGACGACGACGUUGAUAGGCCGGGUGUGUAAGCGCAGCGAUGCGUUGAGCUAACCGGUACUAAUGAACCGUGAGGCUUAACCUU
rnacentral:rRNA from 1 species